rnacentral:lncRNA from 1 species
GACCUGGCCUCCCUGGUUAGCUCCUUGAGGCCACUUCUGUGCUUGCACGCAGCCACCUGCUCUCAGAAGCAGCAGUGGUUCAUCAAAUCCCUCUCGCUCAGGAUUCCUCUAACACCUUCCCAGCACACACGCAUACACAGCCAAAGAGUUGUGAAGCUGGGGUUCGAAUCCCUAUGCCCCAGGGCCCACGGGGAAGGGCCAGUCACCGCAGGUGUGGAUGAGCUGAUUCCUCAGCCUUUUUACCAACAGCCAAGGAAUGUGGGAAAGACGGAGUUUAUUCGGAUCAGAGUACAGAUCCAGAGGGAUGGCGCAGGUCUGCAAGGGGAGUGGGAACAAUUUAUUGAGAAAAAGCUUCUGUCUAAGAGAGGCAGAAGGGGGACAGCAAAGUACAUUGGCUGGGUCGGACACUGUCAAGGCCAACCGGCAAGGCCUUUCACUCGGGCCUCACAAAAGGCUCCUCAGACUCAGUUAACAUCAGUGCUGUGCCUCGCGACCGCCCUAGUGCCGGGCCAGGGCUGCGUCACCAGAGCAAUGCCGAGACCUAACCCUUUUGUCAACAAACCUGCCUCAAUCUUCUGACGGAGCCAGCGGUCACUAGUCGAACAGUACCUGAGGAGAGGGGUGAGGAUUAAGAAAAACAACACAAAUUCGGGAGAAAAGAAAAGCAGAGGAGAGAGCAAGGGCCUUCUCCUUCCCACUUUAUUGAGCCUUUUAUAUAUCCUCCUUCAUUACCCACAGCCUCCCUCCCUUCCUCCCCUCAUGAUCUCGUGACUAAUUAUUUUUACAGAGAAAAGGUCAAAUAUAUCUUUACAAUUCCGGGAAUGUUACUUUCUCGUCCAGCAGACAUUCAAAUCCUUUCUAUAUUCGUUGUUUUCUUUAAAAGUCAACAUCCUUGUUUUUGUACCAGUUUCAUAUCCUGGCUCAUUAUGUUCUUAUCUGACUCAAGAAUCUCAAGGGGUUUAGGAGUCUUUCCAGGGUAGUUUCAACCCUUCGCUCUCCACAAUCUUCCCUGCACCCAACUUCACUAUUCACUACCGACAGGGCCACUGCAGGGGGGGAGGCGAUAGCCACCUCCCAGCUGUUCCCUGAUUUGCAAAAGACUACCAGCCAGCUUCCCUUCCUGCUGGGAGGCCAGCACCAAAUCCCGGUUCUAACUCCCACUCGCGACCCUCAGCUAGUUCAAAGUUAGGGAGCCGCGGUGUCAAGCCCCGCACCCCAGCCUCGGGACCCUCAGCAUGGGGAAGGGAGGGGACACGAGCGCGCCACCACGCCUGCGCGACCCCGAGCCCGCUCCACGAGGGGCGUGGCGGUAAAGAAAGGGACGUGACUGCGAGGGUCUGACCUAUCAGAAGAGGCGCUGGAGCCCUGCGGGCGUGGCCUUCGCGGUUUCCCCGGAAACGCCCGGAGCGUGAAGUUGCGUAGAGACCGAGCAGAGCCUAGAAGAAAGCAGGGAAGGACGCAGGCGGAACGAGGCGGGGACAGAGGGAGGCGGCAGAGUCGCGGCCAGUAUAGGGACAAGGGGCUGGCGGUUUCUCCUUUCCCUGCGUAGUUCAGGAGAGCAUGAUCUGCGGUGGAGCCCGGGGUAAGGAGCACCUCCGUCACCAGGGGGAGCGGUGGACACGCGUGAAGGACAGUCCUGGCUUUGCUUCUGUGUCCCCGAUGUGACAGUCUCGGCUCAGAAGUCAUGAGGCCAAGACUUUCCCCCACUUGUCUACUGGGUAAAGAGCCUGGCUGCGUGGACGGAGGAAACCGUUUUUUAUGCCUCGAUUUCCCCCUAUUUUUCUAUUCGUGUUUUCACCACAUGAAACAUUAAAUGUCCAAUACCAUGCUUUAAGUCUUAGAUUAUGAGUUUCGUUUUUGUUGUUUCUAGUCCGGUACUGGGAGUUGAGACAGGCUGUCUCUAAGUGUUGAAAUUGUCUGGGGUGGGCCCAAACUUGCAGUCCUCCUGUCUCAGCCGCCAGAAGGGCUGAGAUUACAGACUCAAGCCACCAUUCCCUUGCUUUUUGUUUGUGACAGGUCUCACUUUGGCUUCCAGGCUCUUUUUUGAUACCGGGGAUCGAACUCAGGACCUUGUGCUUGCAAGGCAGGCAGCCGAACCACUGAGCUAAAUCCCUUUGUAAGCCACCCUGGCUUCGAGUUUGCAAUCCUCCUGCCUCAGCCUCCUGAAUACUGGGGUUACAGAUGUGUGCCACCAUACCUUUCAUGCAGUGUUUUAAAAUUAAUACUCCAUUCAGUUUAUGGGACAGGCAGUGGAACCACUGAGCUAAAUCCCCGGCCCUGCAUUCAGUUUAGAAAAGACAGCUUUUAAUGAAAUGUUUUCACAUAAAGGAAUAUGAUCCAGAAGCUGC